ACCACUGCGAACCAAACUUUGAUCCUGGUGAAGGUGUCUCCUGUUUUUGCUUGAGUCCGUUCAUCCAUGGACGAACAGUGCACUGUGCAGUGAAGCUCUGUGUCCUGCCUGUGGUGAAGCUCCAGCAGAGGCUGUCUUCUUCCAGAGGAGGCUGUGAUGGUGGGGUCUCCCAGGACCUGUCUUCUUCUGCGAUGUUACUUGGGGCUGAUGGCAGCACUGCAGCCUCCAAUCCAUGAGUUGGAGUUGUCCCUAGGAAAGGAACGGAUGUUGCUAUUUCUCAUAGAGCUCUGCCUUUGCUCCUCCUCCAGACUCAUGAUGCCUCUGACUUCAACCACAUGGCAGUGCCCAGGAGCAGCAGCUGGCCAGAUGUGUCCAGAGUGUGCGUGCAAGGAGUACCCUCUCAUUGUCUGGAACAGUGACUGCCUAAAGCUUCCAAGUCAGCCCCUUAGCUCAAAUGCAAAUAAUAACUGCUACAAGCUCUGAGCAGUCCCUGACUUUCAGGUCACAAGACUGGCAAGCUGCUGAGGUUUCAGGAGACGUGCCUGUUGUUUCCCCACUUUCCAGCCCAAGCCCUGGGAACUGCUCUCCCUGGUUUACACUGAGCCUUUGGAUCCAUGUGCUCUCUGGUAAAUAUCUUCUGGCACUCUCCCGACGAUCCCCAUCCCUUGGACACCCUGACUUUUGCACUAAUUAAACGGAGGCUGGGAAGGCUGAAGCUGCUGCUGAAUAGACAGAGUGGGAGACCGCAGGCUUGUUCCAGAGCAGUGUCUGAGACCUCCGCCUCCUUUAGCUCAACAGGACCUCCUUCCAAAGCCACAAUCCCAGUGAACUUGACUUUCUGUUCUGUGGCUUCCCCUCCCUAGAGGCUGCUGAGCUGGUGGGGCUGGUGGUCUACCUAUUGAAUGUGAGGACUAGGUGGCUCUGAGCUCACCGCAAGACGUCAAUGGUUUUUGCUCUGCGGGCUUUGUUCUCCUUCAGAGCUAGUGAGACCCUGUCUUUUCUGCCUUCCCCGAUGGUGAACAGUGCCUGGGGAGGGCAACCUGCUCCCCCAGCCCAGCUUCCAGCUCCACAUGUCCCAGAGUAACCAGGUGCUGCUGCAGUAUAGAUGUGCCCUUAUCAAACAAGCAGACCUUGAUAGUUUCUUUUUCUUCCAGGCUUAACCUGCCUAAGUCUUUUUGGGGUGAGAUACGAUAUGUGACUUGACAGCAAUUCUAGGUGAGAUUUUUUCCUCCUGGGAAAGCGUGGUAAGAAAUUAAGCUUUGCAGGUUUUCUGCCCAGUCGACCAGGGAAAGUAAAAUCCUUGGUGAACUUGGGUUGGGUCUGGGGGCAGGAGAGUUGCUGCUGUGAUUUGUGGUUAUUCUCUCUGCAGCACUGCUUCCUUACUCACAAGUGAGAGGUGAGGGGUUUUGACACCUCUUUAUGACCUGGGAGCCACAGGGAAGUGGUGGUGACUUGUGUUCUGGAAAGACAAGGUCAUUGACAAGGGUGGUGCAAGCAUCUUUGGUUCCUCUGACCAUAUGAGAAUCCAAAUAUUUUCAAUUCGUAGGAAUUAAAAUGAACAUCCUAGUUUUAUGUUGCUGGCUAUUUGAAAUGUGGCCCUUCCCAAGGUGGUGUGCAAUAUAGGGAUAUUACUGGGAAAGCUGUUGAUAAGAGCAAGAGUGAAAACGGAUGUCUGGUUGUAAAGCCUAUCUGUCCUACAACCUUCAGGGCCUGCCAGGGGACGUGUUUCCUGGGCUGUGAAGAGCCAAUAUGGGACACAAUCAUAUAUCAGUGAUUAUAUUGAUCACUGUCUCAGACCCAUUCAGUCAAGGACACCAGCACCUUUUGGAGAGGAAGGGUCGCUCCUGCUCCGGGAGUCUGGGGAGGGUGUUGAAUGCACAGCAGUGACUGUAUGCGGGGAGAAGCAACUCUCCUUUAGGGAAUGCUGGGCCCAUGCUCGAACCAAUUAGCAGAAUGGAGCUGAGCAAAGUACAGGAGGGACCAGACUGAUAAUAAGCGAAGUGCUCAAAUAUGGGAAGUUGGGGAAGAAGCCAAAUGAAAAUGAAAUGAAAGGCUAAGGUCCAACUUCAGCAGUUGUGUAGAAAAAAUGGGACAGCUGAUAAUAGGAAAGCCUGCAGGAACACUGGGUCAAAACCCCUGUGAGAGAGACUGAAGGAAUCUGCGCAACAGCCAAGGGAGGGAGGGCUGGGAAGGGAUUUUAUCGAAAAGCGAGUCAGCAAAUUGGAGCUGUUGGCUUGCUUACCACCACAGAGACCUACGUCUCACACUGUGACCUCUUCACUUACUGCUCCAUCGUGAUAGCCAAUUUGAGAGAUGCAUGGGAUGGCAGGACUCUCUCAAGAGAGCAGCAAGGGUCUUCUUGACAGACCUUUGCGUGGGGGGACACUUCCCACCAGCUUCACUGCAGAGGGACGGAGGGCAUUUGCUCUGUCUCUUGAUCCGGGACUGCUGAGAAUUGCCUUUGGGGAUAGCUUUAAACCCCUCUUUUUUUUGGAAGUGAAAUCAGAAACCUGUAGCUGAGCUUCUUCCUUUGCAGCCUUUCUCAGCCUUGGAAAUCUAUGGAAAGCUCAGGAGAGGAUAACUGUCUUCUGCCUUCAGGUAAACUCCAUAAAGACCACUUGAAGGUAGAUGAUGUGGUGGAAAACAUCCCAAACCCAUGAGUCUGCAUCUGAGACACAAAGGAAGCAAUUCUAGAUACCUAUAGCUCACGUGAGGCAGCAGAGAUUUCUUUCACAGACACUGUGAUCGAGGUAGGUAUUACAAGGUCACCUGCAGGUGAUACCCUUGGCUCUUGCUAUCUUGGAUCACAGCAGUAAGGCCCUUCUUCUGGUCCCUCUGAUUCACCAUCUGUAAAAGAAGGCUAGGGGUAUACCUUCUUGGUAAACCAUCUGAAAAUGGCCUUACUACAAAAGUGAGCCCAUCCUGCAGGUGAUAAAGAAGAGGUCUUCUUCGGAGGCCUGACUUGUGAGAUAUCAUGGAGAAGCUGUGUAAUACAGGCAUGUAUUUGUCCCUCUGAUGUGGCUUCUCAAUUUAAAAGUGCUGUUCGGAAUGUGAGACGCACUAGAUAAAAGUGAAUUUAACAGCUAUUUUCUAUCCUUUGAGGAACAUCAGUAUUGGCUGAAAGAGGGAAAAAGACCUUUUUUGUUGAAUCUGGAAUGGACCUGCUUUUAUUGGAGGACUCUUGACUACUUUUGUUGAUAAUUCCUCUGAUAGCUUUUACCUGACUUGCUUUCAAAAUCCUUGUUGCUAUUUUUUUUUUUGUCUUUAAAAUGCAUUUCCUUGCUGAAAUUCAGGUUUGGGGUCUUGAAAAAUGUCCAAAAUGAUUUUGCAGAUUACUUUCUUUGAUGUAGAAAUCCCAGAAAUAGGAUAUUCCAUAAGGGAAGUCACCUGUUUAUUUCUAGGAGGGUAGAGAAUUUAUUUUAAACAAUGCCAUUUUCUUUUCAAUUACAGACGUUUUUGUGGGGGAAAAAAAAGCAGCAGUCUCUAAGAAAGAGCAUGUGAUCACAAUUAAAGGAUGUGUUGUGCUGUAUCAGAAGGUAGCAUUUAAACCAGGGAAAGACUGAAUAUUGACUAUAACUCAUUGUAAUUAUACCAUCUAUUUCAAACAUGUAAAUAUGUUUGGUAGCACUUACAUGUUUAUGUCAGCUAUUGGGAAAAGCCAUUUUCCUUUUUGGUAAACUUCUGAUGGUAAGAAUUUUGUUACUUGCAUUUGAAUAAGCAACAGACAACAAGUUUAGACGCCGCAGAUUUUUGUGCGAACAGAAGUUGAUCCCCUGUCCUGUGGCAGUAGGAUUUUACGUGCAUCCAGGUUGUUUGUAGAAAUUUCAUGAAUAGGAAAUAUUAAUAAGCAACGUGUUCAUUAAGACAUGCAUUUCUUCACAGAAUAGAGCACGAACACGGUAAAGGCGGUGUGAUGCAGGGAACUGAACAUCAGACUGGGAAUGGGAUGAGUGGGAAUCCAUUUCUGGCUCCCCCGCUGCCUGGUCAGCUCUUCCCACCUCCCACCUUAACUGGGAUCAGCGGCAUUUAGCUUGUUUUGAAAGGGCUUUGAGAUCUACAGAUUGAGAUCACUCUGGAAGACCCAGGUGCUUUGCUGAAGCCUAACCCACAAACCCUUCAAAAACUGGAACGCUGAUUUAACCUGGCACCGUGAGUGAAGCCGUGUCUCUGCUAAAAUUGAUGAGAAAACUCCCUUCGCUUCUGGGGACUGGGAUCCUUCGCCAGGGGAAAUCAUUCUGAGCCUAUUUCCCUUCCCUCUGACAUUUUCUGUCUUAUCAAAAGCCAGAGGAGUAAGGAAGAAGGUUAAUGACUAAAUUGACAAAUAAACAAUCAGUUCAAAGCAGCAACAGAACAUUUCCAGGAAAAUUUAAGAAUGUCCUCUGAAAACCGGUUAGGAAUGUAAAGUGCCACACUUCAGCCCAAGAGAGACCAUCCGUACAGAGCUCAUUGGGUUACGGGGGCUGCAGCUGGCUGGGAAAUAGGAAAGGCUUUGGCGUUUCCAUGGAAUACAUUAGAGGAAAAUUGCAGAAGAGGGAGGAAAAUUGCUUUGGUCAUGGUGAACGGAGAAAGGCAUCGCCACAGAGGUGUCUUAGGUAAAGCCUCUCUGACAGCCUUAUGUACAACCUGCACACCGUCUGACUCCAGGAUGUCAGGUUUUAGACAGCAAAGCAAAAACAUCCAUGGCUCUCUUCGCCAAAAAGAAAAUGUGUAAGGAGUCACAGGCCAGGAGACCGCCUUUCAGCCCAUUGCGGCAUGAGCAUCGAGCAGUGAUAAUGGGGAGACGCUUCCCUCGCGCUCAGUCAGAGAAACAGAGUGUGUUUGGCCUUUGUUUUCAAGGGCUUCACUUUGCCACAGUAAUGGUGCAUUAACAACCGCUUGAUUUUCAUUUAAUAAAUAAUAGGAAUUAUGCUGUGAUGGAGCCAAGAUUUUAAACAAGAGGCUCCUGUAAACAUUUUCUUCAGGAAUCUGUGAUAAACCAAAGAUAGCGUUAGACGUACUCGGAGGGAGUGGGGACGCCAAACUUGGAAUCUGUCCAUCUGCUUCACCACUGAAACAAAACCACUUUAUAACAACCACAGAGGAGAGGAAGCGAUGCAGCUUGGCACAUGCACUUACACUAUGUGUGGUGGAAAUGUUUAUUCUUUAUUUCAGAAAGAUUUAGUGGGUGUAGAGAUAAUAGAGCAUAGCGCUCGCUUGUGUCUUGGGGAAGGAGGGGUGAUGGUGUUUGGGUUUUAAGGGAGUCCAGUGUCAGCUCCCAUGGGGAAUAUUUUCGGUAAUACCUAUUGCAAUCUCAUGCGCUUGGAAGGCAGGAGGAGACAGAGGAAUGAAAUGUGCUCUUCAGGAGAGGUGUUGUAAAGGCCCCAGGAUUAGUUAUCUCUGACAGGAAGGAUUUUACUGACUCUGGCAGACAGCAGAGGCAGAGUCCUGGCCACUUUGCAUUGGCCCCAUGGCUCCCCCAAGGCCCCAUGCUGGGAUGCUUCCCUCAGAGCGGCUCGGGUCGCUCUGCCCCUCUCCCCAUGAGAUGCCAGGGGGCUGCCUGGGGUCACUGACCCCGCGGACAACCCGCCUCACCCCACGCGUGCCUCGUACCCAACACGUGCCGGCUUCCCGAAGGAUCUUCUGGCUCCAGCUCUCUUGUGUCUACCUGAUGGGCUGAGGCACCAUGUUGUGACUUGGGGGAAGGAUCUGGAAUGCGGGAGUCUGCAGGGUCAGUCUCAUGGUCCCCAGUGUCCCUGUCUGUCCCCCCCAGUGGCCACUGCUCCCUUUUCUGCUGUGCACGUUCAGCUCUGCGGUGCUGCCUCUCCUCAGAGCUGCUCAAAAUCAAACCUGAAAGACCCUGGAGUGACCUCUGGGGAUGUGAGAGUCCCUGCCAGAGUUUGAAAGAGCAUAUGUCUAGACUUGGUGUACGAGCAAGCAAGUGAAGGGAUGACUAAGUGUCUGAAAGUUUGGACCUUUGGAGAGGAGUCCCUUGGCCCUUUGUUUCUUGGAUAAAGUUUCGCUUCCUGUGGAGCUGUGGAGAUAAAGGGUAUUUUUUCUCCCGGUUUUUUUUUUUCCUUCUUUUCAAAACAGUAAAAAAUAUAUAGAUACGUCUUGGGCGAGAAAGCAGAAACCUUUGAAAAAUUUUGGCAAAUCAAGAAACACAAAGAAUGUGUUGAGUGAAACAUUUCAUAGCGACAAAAAUCAAAACAUCUCACUUCGCCUUCAACCACUUUAAAACAUUUUAAUGGUUCGAAAGGAAAUUUCAAAAC